rnacentral:rRNA from 1 species
GAUGAACGCUGACAGAAUGCUUAACACAUGCAAGUCUACUUGAUCCUUCGGGUGAUGGUGGCGGACGGGUGAGUAACGCGUAAAGAACUUGCCUUGCAGUCUGGGACAACGUCUGGAAACGGACGCUAAUACCGGAUAUUAUGAUUGAAUCGCAUGAUUUGAUUAUGAAAGCUAUAUGCGCUGCGAGAGAGCUUUGCGUCCCAUUAGUUAGUUGGUGAGGUAACGGCUCACCAAGACGAUGAUGGGUAGCCGGCCUGAGAGGGUGAACGGCCACAAGGGGACUGAGACACGGCCCUUACUCCUACGGGAGGCAGCAGUGGGGAAUAUUGGACAAUGGACCAAAAGCCUGAUCCAGCAAUUCUGUGUGCACGAUGAAGUUUUUCGGAAUGUAAAGUGCUUUCAGUUGGGAACAAGAAAGUGACGGUACCAACAGAAGAAGCGACGGCUAAAUACGUGCCAGCAGCCGCUGUAA